rnacentral:tRNA from 1 species
GGAGACGUGGCCGAGCUGGUAAGGCAGCGCCCUGCUAAGGCGUACACGGGUAACAGCGUGCAGGGGUUCGAAUCCCCUCGUCUCCG